UACGAAACGACCAAGCUUGAGUAUUGUGACCAAGCGACGUUGGGCAAUUACGUGGAUAUGACACGACCGUAAUUGUUAAACCUUUAAUAACAAAUCACAUGAUCAAUGAGGAACAAUUUCUAAUUUCAGGCGACAGUUGCAGUCAGUAUAGCGUGUUGAACAGUCACGGAAAUCGAUCCAUCGCGUGCUUGGAUCUUGGUCCAACUGACUAGACUUAAAGUGAAAAAGGUAU
rnacentral:lncRNA from 1 species